rnacentral:misc_RNA from 1 species
UACGUAGGUGGCAAGCGUUGUCCGGAAUUAUUGGGCGUAAAGAGCUCGUAGGCGGUCCACUAAGUCAGAUGUGAAAUCUCAGGGCUCAACCCUGAAACCGCAUCUGAUACUGGCGGACUUGAGGCAGGUAGGGGAAGGUGGAAUUCCUGGUGUAGCGGUGAAAUGCGCAGAUAUCAGGAGGAACACCGGUGGCGAAGGCGGCCUUCUGGGCCUGUUCUGACACUGAGGAGCGAAAGCGUGGGGAGCAAACAGG